AGCCUGAUUACGCCCACUGCAGGGCAAAGGCCUCUCCCAUACUUCUCCAACUACCCCGGUCCUCCUUUCUGACUCCUAACUAGCCCUCCUUUACUGACGACAAUUGACUAGACCUGAGUGGAUGUCAGAAUACAUGAAAUCAUGAAACAAGAGGAAAUCCCAUUUGCUUGGUCCAGCUUUCCAUGAUACUAGUUAUGCUCAAGCCCUAAAUAACAAAUAUUUCUGGAUACAGAAGGCAAAAAAUUAGCUUACUGUUCAGCAUGACAUGCAGGUAGGUACAGAGGAGCUUAGAGGCAGAGGAAGGUU